UUACUGAGUUUACGCUCUAUAACCCUUUGUGAACAUACCUAUAACUGUUGCUUCGGCGGGUAGGGUCUCCGCGACCCUCCCGGCCUCCCGCCUCCGGGCGGGUCGGCGCCCGCCGGAGGAUAACCAAACUCUGAUUUAACGACGUUUCUUCUGAGUGGUACAAGCAAAUAAUCAAAACUUUUAACAACGGAUCUCUUGGUUCUGGCAUCGAUGAAGAACGCAGCGAAAUGCGAUAAGUAAUGUGAAUUGCAGAAUUCAGUGAAUCAUCGAAUCUUUGAACGCACAUUGCGCCCGCCAGCAUUCUGGCGGGCAUGCCUGUUCGAGCGUCAUUUCAACCCUCAAGCUCUGCUUGGUGUUGGGGCCCUACAGCUGAUGUAGGCCCUCAAAGGUAGUGGCGGACCCUCCCGGAGCCUCCUUUGCGUAGUAACUUUACGUCUCGCACUGGGAUCCGGAGGGACUCUUGCCGUAAAACCCCCCAAUUUUCCAAAGGUUGACCUCGGAUCAGGUAGGAAUACCCGCUGAACUUAAGCAUAUCAAUAAGCGGAGGAAAAGAAACCAACAGGGAUUGCCUCAGUAACGGCGAGUGAAGCGGCAACAGCUCAAAUUUGAAAUCUGGCCCUAGGCCCGAGUUGUAAUUUGCAGAGGAUGCUUUUG
rnacentral:rRNA from 1 species